rnacentral:tRNA from 1 species
CUGGGUGUGGCGCAGUUUGGUAGCGCGCAUGAAUGGGGUUCAUGAGGCCGUUGGUUCAAGUCCAAUCACCCAGACCA